UACGUAGGGUGCAAGCGUUAAUCGGAAUUACUGGCGUAAAGCGUGCGCAGGCGGCUUUGCAAGACAGAUGUGAAAUCCCCGGGCUUAACCUGGGAACUGCAUUUGUGACUGCAUGGCUGGAGUGCGGCAGAGGGGAUGGAAUUCCGGCGUGUAGCAGUGAAAUGCGUAGAUAUGCGGAGGAACACCGAUGGCGAAGGCAGUCCCCUGGGCCUGCACUGACGCUCGAUGCACGAAAGCCGUGGGGAGCGAAA
rnacentral:rRNA from 1 species